GACGAACGCUGGCGGCGUGCUUAACACAUGCAAGUCGAACGGAAAGGCCCUGCUUUUGUGGGGUGCUCGAGUGGCGAACGGGUGAGUAACACGUGAGUAACCUGCCCUUGACUUUGGGAUAACUUCAGGAAACUGGGGCUAAUACCGGAUAGGAGCUCCUGCUGCAUGGUGGGGGUUGGAAAGUUUCGGCGGUUGGGGAUGGACUCGCGGCUUAUCAGCUUGUUGGUGGGGUAGUGGCUUACCAAGGCUUUGACGGGUAGCCGGCCUGAGAGGGUGACCGGCCACAUUGGGACUGCGAUGCGGCCCAGCCUCCUACGGGAGGCAGCAGUGGGGAAUAUUGCACAAUGGGCGGAAGCCGGAUGCAGCAACGCCGCGUGCGGGAGGACGGCCUUCGGGUUGUAGUCCGCUUUCGCCUGUGACGAAGAGUGAGUGACGGUAAUGGGUAAAGAAGCACCGGCUAACUACGUG
rnacentral:rRNA from 1 species